GAUGAACGCUGGCGGCGUGCCUAAUACAUGCAAGUCGAGCGAACGGACGAGAAGCUUGCUUCUCUGAUGUUAGCGGCGGACGGGUGAGUAACACGUGGAUAACCUACCUAUAAGACUGGGAUAACUUCGGGAAACCGGAGCUAAUACCGGAUAAUAUUUUGAACCGCAUGGUUCAAAAGUGAAAGACGGUCUUGCUGUCACUUAUAGAUGGAUCCGCGCUGCAUUAGCUAGUUGGUAAGGUAACGGCUUACCAAGGCAACGAUGCAUAGCCGACCUGAGAGGGUGAUCGGCCACACUGGAACUGAGACACGGUCCAGACUCCUACGGGAGGCAGCAGUAGGGAAUCUUCCGCAAUGGGCGAAAGCCUGACGGAGCAACGCCGCGUGAGUGAUGAAGGUCUUCGGAUCGUAAAACUCUGUUAUUAGGGAAGAACAUAUGUGUAAGUAACUGUGCACAUCUUGACGGUACCUAAUCAGAAAGCCACGGCUAACUACGUGCCAGCAGCCGCGGUAAUACGUAGGUGGCAAGCGUUAUCCGGAAUUAUUGGGCGUAAAGCGCGCGUAGCCGGUUUUUUAAGUCUGAUGUGAAAGCCCACGGCUCAACCGUGGAGGGUCAUUGGAAACUGGAAAACUUGAGUGCAGAAGGGGAAAGUGGAAUUCCAUGUGUAGCGGUGAAAUGCGCAGAGAUAUGGAGGAACACCAGUGGCGAAGGCGACUUUCUGGUCUGUAACUGACGCUGAUGUGCGAAAGCGUGGGGAUCAAACAGGAUUAGAUACCCUGGUAGUCCACGCCGUAAACGAUGAGUGCUAAGUGUUAGGGGGUUUCCGCCCCUUAGUGCUGCAGCUAACGCAUUAAGCACUCCGCCUGGGGAGUACGACCGCAAGGUUGAAACUCAAAGGAAUUGACGGGGACCCGCACAAGCGGUGGAGCAUGUGGUUUAAUUCGAAGCAACGCGAAGAACCUUACCAAAUCUUGACAUCCUUUGACAACUCUAGAGAUAGAGCUUUCCCCUUCGGGGGACAAAGUGACAGGUGGUGCAUGGUUGUCGUCAGCUCGUGUCGUGAGAUGUUGGGUUAAGUCCCGCAACGAGCGCAACCCUUAAGCUUAGUUGCCAUCAUUAAGUUGGGCACUCUAAGUUGACUGCCGGUGACAAACCGGAGGAAGGUGGGGAUGACGUCAAACCAUCAUGCCCCUUAUGAUUUGGGCUACACACGUGCUACAAUGGACAAUACAAAGGGCAGCGAAACCGCGAGGUCAAGCAAAUCCCAUAAAGUUGUUCUCAGUUCGGAUUGUAGUCUGCAACUCGACUACAUGAAGCUGGAAUCGCUAGUAAUCGUAGAUCAGCAUGCUACGGUGAAUACGUUCCCGGGUCU
rnacentral:rRNA from 1 species